GAUGAACGCUGGCGGCGUGCCUAAUACAUGCAAGUCGAGCGAACUGAUUAGAAGCUUGCUUCUAUGACGUUAGCGGCGGACGGGUGAGUAACACGUGGGCAACCUGCCUGUAAGACUGGGAUAACUUCGGGAAACCGAAGCUAAUACCGGAUAGGAUCCUCUCCUUCAUGGGAGAUGAUUGAAAGAUGGUUUCGGCUAUCACUUACAGAUGGGCCCGCGGUGCAUUAGCUAGUUGGUGAGGUAACGGCUCACCAAGGCAACGAUGCAUAGCCGACCUGAGAGGGCGAUCGGCCACACUGGGACUGAGACACGGCCCAGACUCCUACGGGAGGCAGCGGUAGGGAAUCUUCCGCAAUGGACGAAAGUCUGACGGAGCAACGCCGCGUGAGUGAUGAAGGCUUUCGGGUCGUAAAACUCUGUUGUUAGGGAAGAACAAGUACGAGAGUAACUGCUCGAACCUUGACGGUACCUAACCAGAAAGCCACGGCUAACUACGUGCCAGCCGCCGCAGUAACAC
rnacentral:rRNA from 1 species